rnacentral:rRNA from 1 species
GUAUCAUGGCUCAGGAUGAACGCUAGCGGCAGGCUUAACACAUGCAAGUCGAGGGGCAGCGGGGUGUAGCAAUACACUGCCGGCGACCGGCGCACGGGUGCGUAACGCGUAUGCAACCUACCCAUAACAGGGGCAUAACACUGAGAAAUUGGUACUAAUUCCCCAUAACAUUCGAAGAGGCAUCUCUUUGGGUUGAAAACUCCGGUGGUUAUGGAUGGGCGAAUGCGUUGUAUUAGCUAGUUGG